rnacentral:rRNA from 1 species
UGCGUAGGUGGCGAGGUAAGUCGGAUGUGAAAGCUCGGAGCUCAACUCCGAAAUGGCAUUGGAAACUACCUUGCUCGAGGGUUGGAGGGGGGACUGGAAUACUUGGUGUAGCAGUGAAAUGCGUAGAUAUCAAGUGGAACACCAGUGGCGAAGGCGAGUUCCUGGACAACUCCUGACACUGAGGCACGAAAGCUAGGGGAGGCAAACA